rnacentral:rRNA from 1 species
ACUUUUAUGAGAGUUUGAUCCUGGCUCAGGACGAACGCUGGCGGCAUGCCUAAUACAUGCAAGUCGAACGCUUCUACUAUUGAGUGCUUGCACUCGAUAGUAGAGGAGUGGCGGACGGGUGAGUAACACGUGGGUAACCUGCCCAUAAGUGGGGGAUAACAUUCGGAAACGGAUGCUAAUACC